GAUGAAUGCUGGCGGCGUGCCUAACACAUGCAAGUCGAGCGGCAGCGAGGGGUGCUUGCACCCUGUCGGCGAGCGGCGAACGGCUGAGUAACGCGUAGGAAUUUGCCCCAAAGUGAGGAAUAACUGCCCGAAAGGGUAGCUAAUGCCGCAUAUGGUCUUCGGAUUAAAGGAUUUAUCCGCUUUGGGAGAAGCCUGCGUUGGAUUAGGUUGUUGGUAGGGUAAUGGCCUACCAAGCCGACGAUCCAUAGCUGGUCUGAGAGGAUGAUCAGCCAGACUGGAACUGAGACACGGUCCAGACUCCUACGGGAGGCAGGAGUGAAGAAUCUUCCACAAUGGGCGAAAGCCUGAUGGAGCAACGCCGCGUGAAGGAUGAAGGCCUUCGGGUUGUAAACUUCUUUUAUGAGUGAAGAAUAUGACGGUAACUCAUGAAUAAGCACCGGCUAACUACGUG
rnacentral:rRNA from 1 species